AUUGAACGCUGGCGGCAUGCUUUACACAUGCAAGUCGAACGGUAACAGUCCGCAAGGUUCUGACGAUUGGCUAACGGGUGAGUAAUGCAUCGGAACGUGCCCACUCGUGGGCGAUCACUACCCGACAGAGUAGCUACUACCGCAUACGAUCUUUGGUUCCUUGUGAGACUUCGUAAGGCCACGCUCGAUUGGUGCGGCCUUUGUCAGAUUAGGUUGAUGGUGGGGUUGAGGAUCACCAAGCCAACGAUCUGUCGCUCGACUGAGAGGACGACCAGCCACACAGGGACUGAGACACGGCCCAGACUCCUAAGGGAGGCAGCAGUGGGAAAUUUUGGACAAGGGGCGGAAGCCUGAUCCAGAAAAGGCGCGUGAAGGAAGAAGGGCUUCGGGUUGUGAACUGCUUUUGUACGGAACGAAAAGGGUCUGGUUAAUACCCAGGGAUAAUGACGGUACCGUAAGAAUAAGCACCGGCUAACUACGUG
rnacentral:rRNA from 1 species